rnacentral:sRNA from 1 species
AAAUAUAAAUAAAUAAACGAAAUAAAAAAAAUCCAUCUAAGCACUUAAAAAGAAAACAAUCGAAAAAAAAACAAAAAACUACCAAAUAUCAACACAACAUUGACUUACGUGCCCCCCAAACGAACCGUUCGCACACUUGCCGCCGCACUGCCAGUGCAAAGCAGCUUCGCUGAGCGCGCGCACGUGCCUUCUUCACUCAAUGUAAUCAUCGGCGCUUCGUUUCUCGUCUACUGUUAGCGUCUGCUAACUGUUUAGUGUUUAUUUGUAUUUUUUUGCAUGGUGCUUUUUAUUGCUCACUUCUGCUGCUGCUGCUGCUGUUGCUGCUGAUUCGCUGUUGCAUGCAAUUGCUCUUGCAUUAGAUGCCUGAUUUUUUUUUUUUUGUUUUUGGCAGUAAUAAACUCAAGCAAGAAAAGCUGACGAAAAAAAAGUUUUGGAGAAUAACCGUUACUGCUCGAAGAAGUAAAACAGCGAAUUGUUAAAGUGCAGAUAAUUCCUCGAUUGCAUGCGGCCCUUUUUGGCGAAAUUCCAGCAACAAACCAUUAAUUUGCUUUGGCAAUACACACCUUCUACGUCGUGACUGCGUAUAAAAAAAUACAAAGUUUUAACAAAAUCACACUCAUAAGAGACAAGGCACAUAAGAAACAACAGUUUGAAUACCGCAAACAUCUACUCUUUGCCACAUUUUUCUCUGCAACAUUGGCAGCAAAUUACAACAACAAGCGAUUAAUUUCAACUUAACAAAAAUAAAAAAUUAAAAACGUUUUAACUUCAUUCAAACAACGAUUCUGUGAUAUAAGAACCAAAAGGUAAGUGAAUGAAUUUGA